GGCUCAGAACGAACGCUGGCGGCAGGCUUAACACAUGCAAGUCGAGCGCCCCGCAAGGGGAGCGGCAGACGGGUGAGUAACGCGUGGGAAUCUACCUUUUGCUACGGAAUAACGCAGGGAAACUUGUGCUAAUACCGUAUGUGUCCUUCGGGAGAAAGAUUUAUCGGCAAGAGAUGAGCCCGCGUUGGAUUAGCUAGUUGGUGGGGUAAAGGCCUACCAAGGCGACGAUCCAUAGCUGGUCUGAGAGGAUGAUCAGCCACAUUGGGACUGAGACACGGCCCAAACUCCUACGGGAGGCAGCAGUGGGGAAUAUUGGACAAUGGGCGCAAGCCUGAUCCAGCCAUGCCGCGUGAGUGAUGAAGGCCCUAGGGUUGUAAAGCUCUUUCACCGGAGAAGAUAAUGACGGUAUCCGGAGAAGAAGCCCCGGCUAACUUCGUGCCAGCAGCCGCGGUAAUACGAAGGGGGCUAGCGUUGUUCGGAAUUACUGGGCGUAAAGCGCACGUAGGCGGAUCGAUCAGUCAGGGGUGAAAUCCCAGGGCUCAACCCUGGAACUGCCUUUGAUACUGUCGAUCUGGAGUAUGGAAGAGGUGAGUGGAAUUCCGAGUGUAGAGGUGAAAUUCGUAGAUAUUCGGAGGAACACCAGUGGCGAAGGCGGCUCACUGGUCCAUUACUGACGCUGAGGUGCGAAAGCGUGGGGAGCAAACAGGAUUAGAUACCCU
rnacentral:rRNA from 1 species